rnacentral:ribozyme from 2 species
GUCAUAACUCCCCCUGUAGCUACUGCUGGUCCCAAGCCCAGGUAAAGGAGGAGGGUUGGG